rnacentral:rRNA from 1 species
GACGAACGCUGGCGGCGUGCUUAACACAUGCAAGUCGAACGAUGAAGCCCAGCUUGCUGGGUGGAUUAGUGGCGAACGGGUGAGUAACACGUGAGUAACCUGCCCUGGACUCUGGGAUAACCCCGAGAAAUCGGAGCUAAUACCGGAUAGGACCUUGGAUCGCAUGAUUUUUGGUGGAAAGUUUUGCGGUUUGGGAUGGACUCGCGGCCUAUCAGCUUGGUGGUGAGGUAAUGGCUCACCAAGGCGUCGACGGGUAGCCGGCCUGAGAGGGUGACCGGCCACACUGGGACUGAGACACGGCCCAGACUCCUACGGGAGGCAGCAGUGGGGAAUAUUGCACAAUGGGCGCAAGCCUGAUGCAGCAACGCCGCGUGCGGGAUGACGGCCUUCGGGUUGUAAACCGCUUUUAGUAAGGAAGAAGGGGCUUCGGCCUUGACGGUACUUGCAGAAAAAGGACCGGCUAACUACGUGCCAGCCGCCGCUGUAAUAC